rnacentral:rRNA from 1 species
GAUGAACGCUAGCUACAGGCUUAACACAUGCAAGUCGAGGGGCAGCACAAGGUAGCAAUACUGAGGUGGCGACCGGCGCACGGGUGAGUAACACGUAUCCAACCUGCCGUUCACUCGGGGAUAGCCUUUCGAAAGAAAGAUUAAUACCCGAUGGUAUAAGAAUUCCGCAUGGUUUUCUUAUUAAAGAAUUUCGGUGAUCGAUGGGGAUGCGUUUCAUUAGGUAGUAGGCGGGGUAAUGGCCCACCUAGCCGACGAUGAAUAGGGGUUCUGAGAGGAAGGUCCCCCACACUGGUACUGAGACACGGACCAGACUCCUACGGGAGGCAGCAGUGAGGAAUAUUGGUCAAUGGGCGAGAGCCUGAACCAGCCAAGUAGCGUGAAGGAUGACUGCCCUAUGGGUUGUAAACUUCUUUUAUAUGGGAAUAAAAAGAGUCACGUGUGGUUUAUUGUAUGUACCAUUAUGAAUAAGCAUCGGCUAACUCCGUGCCAGCCGCCGCAGUAAAAC